rnacentral:rRNA from 1 species
UACGUAGGGUCCGAGCGUUGUCCGGAAUUACUGGGCGUAAAGAGCUCGUAGGUGGUUUGUCGCGUUGUUCGUGAAAACUCACAGCUUAACUGUGGGCGUGCGGGCGAUACGGGCAGACUUGAGUACUGCAGGGGAGACUGGAAUUCCUGGUGUAGCGGUGGAAUGCGCAGAUAUCAGGAGGAACACCCGGUGGCGAAGGCGGGGUCUCUGGGCAGUAACUGA